CACACACACAGACACACACACAGACACACACACACACACACACACACACACACACACACACACACACACACACACACACUGCAUCCCACAGCUGUUGUAACAUUCCUUCAGCUCCAGUCCUAAAGAUAACAGUCUGUACUUGGCUCUCAGGUGGAGGUGACAGGGAUGAUAUGGGUGAGAUAGAGGUACAGAUAGAGGUACAGGCCACCCCCCCCCCCAGUCGAUAGCAGGUUAUAGGUAUUUCUGUUUUUAAAGGCAUUAUCCCAUUGAGCCACCAUAUGUAGUGUUUACCGUGAGUGGGAUCUCCCUGAACCCGGAAACAUUGCCUUUACAAGCCUCACUGCCUCUCUAACCUUAAGUAUUCAUGUUGUGAGCUUGAGGGUUCCUGACUGUCUGGUUUCCUGCUUCACACAAACACUACAGGCCAGGCUUUUAAUCAACUGGUCCCACUUUGAUUUAUUCACCUUCGAUGACGUGCUGUACAUAAUGUAUCUAUCUAUUUAUUUAUUUAUUGACUGAGGAUUGUGAUUGGUUGAGACAGUCUUUCAGCCAAACAGACCAGUUUAAAGCUGAGCCUGUUGGUUUGUCGUGUGUCAUGAUACUGGUCAGCGGGUGGCUCAUUUAGGUUACGGGCAAAUCUGAAAUGGCUCCCUAUUACCUAUGUAGUGCACUACUUUGAGCCAAAAGAAGUGCCCUAUUUGAGGAAGGAAUAUGUAUAGGAAUAGUAAAGGAAUAAGAGGAGCUUUUGAGAAAUACCUGAAGAACAUAUUCCCUAUAUAAAACAAGGCAACUACUUGGCCAAUAGGAGGGAUUCUAGCUCUUAGCUGCUGGCCAAUAGGAGGGAUUCUAGCUCUUAGCUGCUGGCCAAUAGGAGGGAUUCUAGCUCUUAGCUGCUGGUCCCCUAGGGGAUUCUAGCUCUUAGCUGCUGGCCAAUAGGAGGGAUUCUAGCUCUUAGCUGCUGGCCAAUAGGAGGGAUUCUAGCUCUUAGCUGCUGGCCAAUAGGAGGGAUUCUAGCUCUUAGCUGCUGGUCCACUAGGGGAUUCUAGCUCUUAGCUGCUGGCCAAUAGGAGGGAUUCUAGCUCUUAGCUGCUGGCCAAUAGGAGGGAUUCUAGCUCUUAGCUGCUGGCCAAUAGGAGGGAUUCUAGCUCUUAGCUGCUGGUCCACUAGGGGAUUCUAGCUCUUAGCUGUGGCUGCUGGUCCCCUAGGGGAUUCUAGCUCUUAGCUGCUGGUCCCCUAGGGGAUUCUAGCUCUUAGCUGCUGGUCCCCUAGGGGAUUCUAGCUCUUAGCUGCUGGUCCCCUAGGGGAUUCUAGCUCUUAGCUGCUGGUCCCCUAGGGGAUUCUAGCUCUUAGCUGCUGGUCCACUAGGGGAUUCUAGCUCUUAGCUGCUGGUCCACUAGGGGAUUCUAGCUCUUAGCUGCUGGUCCCCUAGGGGAUUCUAGCUCUUAGCUGCUGGUCCCCUAGGGGAUUCUAGCUCUUAGCUGCUGGUCCCCUAGGGGAUUCUAGCUCUUAGCUGCUGGUCCCCUAGGGGAUUCUAGCUCUUAGCUGCUGGCCAAUAGGAGGGAUUCUAGCUCUUAGCUGCUGGCCAAUAGGAGGGAUUCUAGCUCUUAGCUGCUGGCCAAUAGGAGGGAUUCUAGCUCUUAGCUGCUGGUCCCCUAGGGGAUUCUAGCUCUUAGCUGCUGGUCCCCUAGGGGAUUCUAGCUCAUAGCUGCUGGUCCCCUAGGGGAUUCUAGCUCUUAGCUGCUGGUCCCCUAGGGGAUUCUAGCUCUUAGCUGCUGGUCCCCUAGGGGAUUCUAGCUCUUAGCUGUGGCUGCUGGUCCACUAGGGGAUUCUAGCUCUUAGCUGCUGGUCCCCUAGGGGAUUCUAGCUCUUAGCUGUGGCUGCUGGUCCACUAGGGGAUUCUAGCUCUUAGCUGUGGCUGCUGGUCCACUAGGGGAUUCUAGCUCUUAGCUGUGGCUGCUGGUCCACUAGGGGAUUCUAGCUCUUAGCUGUGGCUGCUGGUCCACUAGGGGAUUCUAGCUCUUAGCUGUGGCUGCUGGUCCACUAGGUGAUUCUAGCUCUUAGCUGUGGCUGCUGGUCCACUAGGGGAUUCUAGCUCUUAGCUGUGGCUGCUGGUCCACUAGGGGAUUCUAGCUCUUAGCUGUGGCUGCUGGUCCACUAGGGGAUUCUAGCUCUUAGCUGUGGCUGUUGGUCCCCUAGGGGAUUCUAGCUCUUAGCUGUGGCUGCUGGUCCCCUAGGGGAUUCUAGCUCUUAGCUGUGGCUGCUGGUCCACUAGGGGAUUUCAUUUUUGUUCUGAUAGCUAUCUUGACUUUUGUGUCCAGCUUCACUUCAACAGUACUUGAUUGCAAUUUUAUAAAUUCACAUUGAAUCUCGAGAGUGCUGUGAAAAUAGUGAGCUGUUGUGGGCUUACAGAUUUGUAACGUCCGGGAGAGCCCAGCACAGAAUGUUUUCUUUCAGUAGUCUUUUUCCCGACCCCUAGCUAAGCUAGCAGGAUUGGUUAGCUUAGCUAGCUGCAUACUGUCAGUUUAGCUAGGACAGCUGGAUUGGUUAGCUUAGCUAGCUGCAUACUGUCAGUUUAGCUAAAAUGGCUGGAUUACUGACAUCAUCACUCCUCAACCUCAACACUGUACAGCCCUACUGUAUGCUGGACUUACUGUACUGUACCUAUGUUAAGGCCAAGCACCAAGCUGACAGCACCCCCCCCCCCCCCCUCUAUUUCUAACAGAAGAAGUGUGGCCUGGGAGGGACACUGGUCUAUGGGGUAUUUAGGGCCAGGGAUUCAAUCCAUACAGAGCUCUCGGCUAUGCAGCUUUUACAGUGAUCUGCCCUAUACGGUAUGGUGGCCUGGGAGGGACACUGGUCUUUUAAAGGUUCAUGUUACUCUUAGGGAUGACUGUACUCUACACCUCUUGUCUGUCUACCACACUCCCUUACCUACAUUCCUAUACAAUGGGUACUAUGUUGGUAUCUCUAUGUUUAUUAUUUCUGACACAGAGGUCAUAUGGAGAUGGUUGUUUCUUAUUUUAUUAUGUUUUGUCUGUCUACCACACUCCCUUACCUACAUUCCUAUACAAUGGGUACUAUGUUGGUAUCUCUAUGUUUAUUAUUUCUGACACAGAGGUCAUAUGGAGAUGGUUGUUUCUUAUUUUAUUAUGUUUUGCUCAUUGGUUUUGUGUAAAUACUGAUACUGUGGUGAUGAUAUGAAACAUUUGAUUGGAUAGGAGUGGGGUGGUGAAUCUAAAGGAUUUGAUUGGACGGGAGAGAAAGAGGUGUGGUGAUUCUAAUGGAUUUGAUUGGACGGGAGAGAAUGUGGUGUGGUAAUUCUAAUGGAUUUGAUUGGACGGGAGAUAAUGUGGUGUGGUAAUUCUAAUGGAUUUUAUUGGACAGGAGAGAAUGUGGUGUGGUAAUUUUAAUGGAUUUGAUUGGACGGGAGAGAAAGAGGUGUGGUAAUUCUAAUGGAUUUGAUUGGACGGGAGAGAAAGAGGUGUGGUGAUUCUAAUGGAUUUGAUUGGAUGGGAGAGAAAGAGGUGUGGUGAUUCUGAAGGAUUUGAUUGGACGGGAGAGAAAGAGGUGUGGUGAUUCUGAAGGAUUUGAUUGGACGGGAGAGAAAGAGGUGUGGUGAUUCUGAAGGAUGGCUGCAGUGCCUUGUCAGAGAGCAGUUGUUGUUUUUUUGACACGGUAUUUGGUUCCAGUCUGCACCGUUUUAGUAAAAGUUGUACAAAACUAAACCAUGUGCCUCAUCUCCUUCCUUUCAUCCUCCUACAGUGCCAUUUUAGCCAAGGCUUUUAUUCAAAGCAACUCACAGUGGUGCACACCUGCAUUUUCUAUACACAUGUGACAACAAUUGUUGUUGUGAUGCAACUGAUAUUUAUGUGAAGGUUUGUCCCCCAACACUUUUUAUGCAGAUAACCUGCCACUCUUAUCACGACUGCUGUGCCAAAUGCGUUGUACAUCGGCUGUACAACUUGUGUGCGUGGCCUUAUAGGGAGAACCUCCAUUGCUGUUUCCGUGAUCCCUCGCGUCCUCUCUCUCUCUCUCCUCACCGCCUCCUCAAAACCCAUUGAAUGAGAAGGUCAGAGAGGUCCCUCCUGUUUGGCAUUCUCAUCCAACAGGGUUUUGAGAAAGAGGCGAGGAGAAAGGGCUUUGAGGAAUCCAGGAAAUGCGAUUGUGAUUCUCCCUGUUGUUUGUGAGUUGUGAGUCACAGGGCCCCACCACUCAGACGUGUAACAGGGACAAUCAUUUGAUGGUAGAUCAACUGUGUUUAUUAAUGUGUAAAACAAGGGUCCUAUCAGGAGGCAGAGUACAGAACAUUAGGCUACAACACUAUAAAACAUCAGAGACAGGAGAUGAACAACAACACAAACAUUGUCACGUCAUGGGUGGGUGUGGAUGUGUGUGUGGGUGUGUGAGUGUGUGUCUGUGUGUGUCUGUGUGUGUGUGUCUGUGUGUGUGUGUCUGUGUGCGUGUGUGUGUCUGUGUCUGUGUCUGUGUGUGUGUGUGUCUCUGUGUAUGUUAUAGGCAGCCCACAGCUGAAGAGGCUGUGUACCAGGUCAACACUAGGUAUGUAAAUGAGGGAAUCAAUGUACCUUUUUAAUGGACGACAGUGGGUGAUGAUCUAGUGAUCCGGGUCUAAAAACAGACAGCUGAUCAGUAGUUAAAGAGGCAGUCAGUCUGUGAGGACAGGACAGGAAAUGGGGAAAACCUUCCUCCUAGCAUCACUACGAGACACGUUCAAUGGAGAAGGAGGACGAAGUGGGCUUUAAUCUGUGCCCGGGAAAACCUUCCUCCUAGCAUCACUACGAGACACGUUCAAUGGAGAAGGAGGACGAAGUGGGCUUUAAUCUGUGUCCGGGAAAACGUUCCUCCUAGCAUCACUACGAGACACGUUCAAUGGAGAAGGAGGACGAAGUGGGCUUUAAUCUGUGCCCGGGAAAACGUUCCUCCUAGCAUCACUACGAGACACGUUCAAUGGAGAAGGAGGACGAAGUGGGCUUUAAUCUGUGUCCGGGAAAACCUUCCUCCUAGCAUCACAUUUCACGUGUCAACGUUAAAACAGGAAGUUGGGGUCUCUAAGUUACAGUUAGGCACAUUCAAAGCCAUAAAACAGAGGAGGGUAACCUGGUCUAAUCUAAUCCUGCCUGCAUCAUUUAUUGUUAUCUCCCAUAAAAUAGUAUCAUUGAGAGCUACUGGGAAUUUUGCAAUCCGAGACACUUUGGUGAGAGAGAGAGUACAGUUUGUGUCCUCUUGCCUCUGACUCCCGGGGUCAUUCCUCCACUUGGCCUCUAGGUGGAGCCCUCUCUCCAAACAGCACAGCUCGCCAUCGGGGAAGGAGACAGAAGGGAUCUAUAAAGGAGGUCCCUCUAUACACAACACAGAAAGACCCCUGGGGGUAAACUGGACUGUGUACGUAUGGAUGGACACGUGUGUUUGGACAUGUAUGUGUGACUCGACGUUUACCGCAGGUGGAAAAGGUAACAAAACAAAAAAUACUUUUCCUGAAAAAAAUACAUU